UACGUAGGGUGCAAGCGUUAAUCGGAAUUACUGGGCGUAAAGCGUGCGCAGGCGGUUAUGUAAGACAGAUGUGAAAUGCCCGGGCUUAACCUGGGAACUGCAUUUGUGACCGCAUGGCUAGAGUGUGUCAGAGGGGGGUAGAAUUCCACGUGUAGCAGUGAAAUGCGUAGAUAUGUGGAGGAAUACCGAUGGCGAAGGCAGCCCCCUGGGAUAACACUGACGCUCAUGCACGAAAGCGUGGGGAGCAAACAGG
rnacentral:rRNA from 1 species